AAGCUGCUCACUAACAAACUAAAACCCAUAAAAACUUAAAUACUAACCGAAACCUUCUAAAGAAAAAAAAACAAACCAAAUAAAACCAAACCAUGGGCUGCUGGACUAGGUUUAGGAUAAAACCCAACCCUAAGCUCCUGAACCACAUGGGCAUGGGUCGGUGAAGACCCAUUCCCCUCAAGCUAGCCCAAACACAGAGGUAAUCGAGGGAGGCGAAAAGACAAACCCUAGCCGCCUGGCUGUUGGGUAGAGGAACAGAAAACAUUUAAUGCUAGCACUAGUUGGCAGCAUUAACCAAAGGCUGUUGUAAUGAAAAGCCAAAAACUUUAUUGACACGAUAACCAAACCUUUAACAAAUGGGCUUUUAAUUGUAUUAAAAAAUAAUAGUUAUAUGGAACAUUAUUUGGAGAAGAACAAACAGUGAACAACAAAUAAACAUUUGUCUCUUUCCUUCAACAAACCCAAACUAUUCUCAGAGACGAGGAAAAUCCAAUCUUUCCAUCUUGAGGAAAAUCAACCGUAAACAAAAAUAACACGACCAACGGAGAUGACGGAAACGAAAACUCAACCGAAGAGCAUAAACAGAAAAUCCAAAAUGGAACCGACGUCGUCGCCUCUUCUAUGGUCAAAGAGAGGGGCCAUUAUCGAUCGAGGUUAAAUCGAGAACCCACAGCGUGAUGCAAGGAGGUACUUACCUGUCACGACAAGAUCAACGGUGAUGGGAAAGGUAAUGAUUAGAUCCUGCUUUCAAAUUCCCCCUCAUUGGUCGAUUCGCCUUCUUCACGUACUCACUCGCGUGCUCGGCUUUUGGUAGAGACUUCGUUCCAAAAGGCGUCAAGAUGAAGCUCUAACACCGUCUCUUCAAAGGAAUCGCAUUUUUUAGUAAUCGCGGUUCUGAUUGUGAAAGGCCUCCAAAAAUUCUCUCUGUGGUCCCUCUCUUUGCGUUCUUUUUACCGUUGGGGUGGCACGACCUUUGGGAGUGUUGGUGAGUGUUCGUACGGACGCUCUGAGACCUCUCGUCUGUAUCCAACUUCGUGGUCCCUUUUCAAUUCUCAUCCUAAUCUUUUACCGUUGGACAUAUGUCACGCCGGGUCGAAUUUCAGAGGAGGUUUGCAAACGCUAACGUCAACUGUGCAAAGAUGCACAAAAGUAGUUCCACACAGAGGAGUCACCUUGCCAGGAAACCGACUUUUCACUCAAUGUCUAAUUAAAUUGCUAAGUGCAUCAUCACUGCUUAGUUAUCCAAGAAGAAGAAAAAACAGAUGUUAUGGUGAAAACGGAAACAGAAGUAGAAGAGAGAAAGAGAAUGUAGAAGGUGGCGAUGGACUGUUGUCAUGGCCUGCUAUGAACUGCUGCAACUUGAUGAAGGUCUUGGAAUGCAGCCUGUGGAAUUGUUUGCUACAACUUGUUGUUGGUGCCAUGCGUAGCUUUUUGCUUAUAAGCCCAUCCGUUGCCAGUGGAUCAAUGCGGAGGACCAAAAUGGUAGCAAGGCCUUGGCAGCUUCCUCCUCUGCACCCAUAACCCCUUUCUAUGCAUUAAUCGCAAAUUCUUCGGCUUCUUUAAGCCUGAAAGGCAGUUCACCUAUAGCUUGCACUGCUUCUGCAGUAUCCUUCAAUUGAGCCUGGAGCCCUCUAUUUUCAUCUCUCAACAUUUGCCUCUCCUCUAUCCGCCAGCAUAAGUGUUGUAGAGAAAUCUGCUUUGCUAAAGAUAAUCCCAACAAUAUAUUUUGAGAAAGAAGCAAAGUCCAUAUUGAAUCCAACAUCGGCACACAUAGAAGCAUCCUUGCAUUCUGAAUGCAGCUGGAAACUCUAGUUGUGGGGUUGGGUUCAGGGCAGAACUGGGAUCAAUCGCUGCAUGAGGAUGAAGAUACUGUACAUCCAACUUUCCAGACUUGUGAUCUAGUAUAUUGAAACUCAAAGCUAUUUUUUGGUUUUUAUGGAAAAUAUUGCUCAAAAUCGCUCGUAGACACAUUAGAGAAUGUAUUCAACUUUCACAUCCAUUGUAACAUUUUCAAACUUGUAUAUGUGAUGUGCAUGAUAACGAAAAAUGGUAUUCUGUAGCGAGACAAAAUUA